rnacentral:rRNA from 1 species
UACAGAGGUCCCAAGCGUUGUCCGGAAUCAUUGGGCGUAAAGGGUGCGUAGGCGGCGCGGUAAGUCGGGCGUGAAAUCUCGGAGCUUAACUCCGAAACUGCAUUGGAUACUGCCGUGCUUGAGGACUGGAGAGGAGACUGGAAUUUACGGUGUAGCGGUGAAAUGCGUAGAUAUCGUAAGGAAGACCAGUGGCGAAGGCGGGUCUCUGGACAGUAACUGACGCUGAGGCGCGAAAGUCAGGGGAGCAAACGGG